ACAAAACUAGAUGAAAGAAGAAGUACAUACUAUCAGGGCCACCAAGCUUUGUGACAGCGUCGACAAAACGGUCAUGAAGAUCGGUUGUCCACCUCAGCCUCGGCUUUGGGUCUCUCGUCAUCGUCAUCAUCAUUCCAUCAUACCCUUCAAUUCCUCCUCUCCCUCCACUUUCCAUCAUACCCUCUCCUCCUUUUUUUCCUUUCUCUAUCUUCAACUUCCAAAUGGAAAAUUCAAAUGAAUCUCACUUGAAGGUUUUGCUUUGUAGCCAAUAAGAGAAAGUCUUCAAAGGUAUAGUAACCAAACACUAUAGCUUCUUCAAGUGACAAUGUUUUUAGCAAGUGAAAAUGGCAGAGUCUAUAAUUUCAUAAGACAAAAACAAGACUCUGAUGAGUAAUCAUAACCUAUUGGAAUUGAACUAGAAACAAAACAAGUCAGAAGAACAGAACAUAAUUGAUUAGACGAAAAUAGAGGAUUGGUGUUGUGACAAAUAAAAUAGAAAAAGAAGAAAAAAUGGCUCAAUGGAGUAAGAAGCAACAAAAACAAAAGCGUCAAAUACGGUGAUUGUUGGAGUUUAAAUAAUUGUGUUACAGUGAUUCCAAUAAUUGUCAAGAAAAUUCUUUUGUUUUUAGUAGAUCCAUCAAAUAACAAUAAUUGUUCAAAACUCAUACAUAAGUGAAAGAGUUGUGAUUUGAUAUUGUCAUUAAAAACUCACACUAAUGGAGUAGUUGUGUGGAUACCCGAUCG
rnacentral:lncRNA from 1 species